CCUACGGGUGGCAGCAGUGAGGAAUAUUGGUCAAUGGGCGCGGGCCUGAACCAGCCAAGUCGCGUGAAGGAUGACUGCCCUACGGGUUGUAAACCUCUUUUGUCGAGGAAUAACGUGAGGACCGUGUGCCUUUUUGUAUGUACUUUAUGAAUAAGGAUCGGCUAACUACGUGCCAGCAGCCGCGGUAAUACGGAGGGGGCGAGCGUUAUCCGGAUUUACUGGGUGUAAAGGGCGCGUAGGCGGGAGAGCAAGUCAGAUGUGAAAACUACAGGCUUAACCUGUAGCCUGCAGUUGAAACUGGUCUUCUUGAGUGAGGGAGAGGCAGGCGGAAUUCCUAGUGUAGCGGUGAAAUGCGUAGAUAUUAGGAGGAACACCAGUGGCGAAGGCGGCCUGCUGGACAUUAACUGACGCUGAGGCGCGAAAGCGUGGGGAGCGAACAGGAUUAGAUACCCCUGUAGUC
rnacentral:rRNA from 1 species